AGAGGCUCCAAGCUCAGAGCAAGGAUAAAGAAUCCUGCAUUGCCAUCAAACACAAUUUUGCAGUGUCUCAUCAUGAGGCUUCUUCUCCUGAAGUCCUUGGGAAUUGCAUGUGGAAACCAGCUGCAGAACCAGGCAAUAAACAGGUGCAAGUGACAUACUGGAGUCAGUGUUACUUUGUCUACUCCUCCAGAGCCAGACAUAUUCUCCUCUGGCUUCAGAGUGAAAGGAAACUGCAGAAACAUCAGAUAAAGUUUCAACUCACUGGAA